CAGUCGCCGCGGGAAUACGUAGGUCCCGAGCGUUGUCCGGAUUUAUUGGGCGUAAGGCGAGCGCAGGCGGUUUGAUAAGUCUGAAGUUAAAGGCUGUGGCUCAACCAUAGUUCGCUUUGGAAACUGUCAAACUUGAGUGCAGAAGGGGAGAGUGGAAUUCCAUGUGUAGCGGUGAAAUGCGUAGAUAUAUGGAGGAACACCGGUGGCGAAAGCGGCUCUCUGGUCUGUAACUGACGCUGAGGCUCGAAAGCGUGGGGAGCGAACAGGAUUAGAUACCCCUGUAGUCCCUGUCUCUUAUACA
rnacentral:rRNA from 1 species